AGAGUUUGAUCAUGGCUCAGAUUGAACGCUGGCGGCAGGCCUAACACAUGCAAGUCGAACGGUAACAGGAAACAGCUUGCUGUUUCGCUGACGAGUGGCGGACGGGUGAGUAAUGUCUGGGAAACUGCCUGAUGGAGGGGGAUAACUACUGGAAACGGUAGCUAAUACCGCAUAACGUCGCAAGACCAAAGAGGGGGACCUUCGGGCCUCUUGCCAUCGGAUGUGCCCAGAUGGGAUUAGCUUGUUGGUGGGGUAACGGCUCACCAAGGCGACGAUCCCUAGCUGGUCUGAGAGGAUGACCAGCCACACUGGAACUGAGACACGGUCCAGACUCCUACGGGAGGCAGCAGUGGGGAAUAUUGCACAAUGGGCGCAAGCCUGAUGCAGCCAUGCCGCGUGUAUGAAGAAGGCCUUCGGGUUGUAAAGUACUUUCAGCGGGGAGGAAGGGAGUAAAGUUAAUACCUUUGCUCAUUGACGUUACCCGCAGAAGAAGCACCGGCUAACUCCGUGCCAGCAGCCGCGGUAAUACGGAGGGUGCAAGCGUUAAUCGGAAUUACUGGGCGUAAAGCGCACGCAGGCGGUUUGUUAAGUCAGAUGUGAAAUCCCCGGGCUCAACCUGGGAACUGCAUCUGAUACUGGCAAGCUUGAGUCUCGUAGAGGGGGGUAGAAUUCCAGGUGUAGCGGUGAAAUGCGUAGAGAUCUGGAGGAAUACCGGUGGCGAAGGCGGCCCCCUGGACGAAGACUGACGCUCAGGUGCGAAAGCGUGGGGAGCAAACAGGAUUAGAUACCCUGGUAGUCCACGCCGUAAACGAUGUCGACUUGGAGGUUGUGCCCUUGAGGCGUGGCUUCCGGAGCUAACGCGUUAAGUCGACCGCCUGGGGAGUACGGCCGCAAGGUUAAAACUCAAAUGAAUUGACGGGGGCCCGCACAAGCGGUGGAGCAUGUGGUUUAAUUCGAUGCAACGCGAAGAACCUUACCUGGUCUUGACAUCCACGGAAGUUUUCAGAGAUGAGAAUGUGCCUUCGGGAACCGUGAGACAGGUGCUGCAUGGCUGUCGUCAGCUCGUGUUGUGAAAUGUUGGGUUAAGUCCCGCAACGAGCGCAACCCUUAUCCUUUGUUGCCAGCGGUC
rnacentral:rRNA from 1 species